AAUUAAAUAAAUGUGAAGAUGAAUAUUAAUUAAAUAAAUGUGAACGUUAAUUAACUGAGAAUAAUUGAAGGGUGAUGCUACAUGUAUGUUAGGAUGUCCAUAACGGUGUUCACCCACUCACAUGGAAGGGACCCACUUCGAAUAAAAUAUAAUUUGUUCAAAAUGGGUCCCCCUUCAUAUAAAGGGGGUGGACACCAUUAUGGACACAUAUUGUAUAUAAGUAGUAUAUUCUAAAAUUGAAUUAUAAUAAGACUAGAAUCAUCCAAAAAAUGAUUAUGAUUUGAUGUGAUAUUUAGUGUCUGUUUGACAAUCUUUAAUUUAUUAUAUAGUUUGCUAUUGGAUCAUUUUCAACCACACAUUCACACAAUAAAAUAUUAUACACGUAUACCAAAAUUUUUGCCUACUUUUGACCAUACAUUUCCCCAAAAUCACUAUUCGAAACUCUUUCUUUCAACACUAAUUGUUGUCAAACAGGCUCUUAAUAAAUUAUGAAUAAGCAUUGGAUAUCUUUGUUCUGCUCGGGUGCAAUUUGUUGGAGUUUUGCAUAAGAGGAAACAAAACAAGUUUUAAGAUUUUCAGCUUGUCAAUUUGUGGAGUCCGCUUGAGUUCAGCUUGUCAAUAUAAAGUUAGUAUAUUAAAAUGAAACAUGAACCUUAGUGUUUGAGAAUUAGAAACCCAAUUCAACCUAAUUUUAUACCACCAGAGCUCGCAGAAAUGAAUAAAGACACACAAGAUUUAUAGAGGGUUACCUCACAAAUAUGAGAUUACAUCAUCUUUCGCCACUGCAAUAAUCCACUAACAUGAAAAGAAGUUUACAAUAGAAAAUCCCACACACUAUCUUAUCUAACCUUUCUGUCCCUUUUUUAUGGUAAUACAAAAAUAUAAUGACGACUCCCUAUUUAUAAGAUAAAUUAUGGAAAAAUCAUUAUUUACAAGGACACAAAAUCAAUCCUCAUGUAGGCUCUGCACAGCAGCAAUAAUUAGGUUCCACUACUUAACACUUAGAGUGUGUUUGAUUGACAUGAAAAAUAUUAUCUAGAAAAGAAAAUAUUUUCCAUCUUUUGUGGAAAAUAAAAAUCACCUCUACCCAAAGAAAAUGUUUUCCUUAAAAACAAGGAAAAUUAGGCAUAUUUUCAAAAGUUGGAAAACGUUUUCCAUGAAAAAAAUAGCAAUCAAACACUUUAAGUAGGAAUUUGGGUGAAAAACUGAUAUUUUUCAUGAAAAAUAAAUGUAAUCAAACACACCCUUAACUCUUUUUCAGAACUAUUGAUUUGAAUAAUCAGUAAGCAGGCUUGUUUACUAUAUGAAGCUGAGUUUUUCGUUGCAUAUUUUACUUUCCCAAGUAUGUCUGCAAGAAAAGAAAGACAAGGUUCAUUUGAAACCAGUGCAUUCAUUUUGUACUAAUAAAUAAAUAAAGAACUGGACUCGGCUUGGAAAAUGGGCUUUAUUCAUCAAAUUAUAUAGCAUUAUUUUUCUGCAUCUACCUGUUCACUCUUUGAUAUCAAUGAUAUAGCACAUGGCGUAACCAUUUAGAUUACAAUGAUUGUAUGUUCUGCACUCUGGUCACCUCGAAGCCUAAGAAAUGGUUCAGUUAUACAUAAGCAUACAUGUUCUAAUUACAUACGUGUAUAUGCAUGUGUACAAGAAAACUUUAAACAUAAGUUUGGGAGGUAUGAAUCAGAAUCAAGCUUAAAACUUUCUAGGAUAGGAUUCAUAAUUUUUACCAAAAUGUUCCCACAUGGGCAAGGCACUAAAGAUCUCUGUAGUGCUUAACAUGAUAGUACAAUAUAAGGUGAAAAGAAGCAUACACCUCUAGUGUCAUUCAAUUGAGAGACUUGUUAACCUUUUUAACACUUAAUAUUUACAUUUAGCUUUUUAAAUUUUCCACAAACAUGAUGCAUGUAUCAUUAGAAUAAGAGAUCAAGAUGGUGAUGAAAGUAGAAAAUCUAUCGCUUGCAAUGGAUAAUUAAUAUGUUUUUUGUUCAAAUCAAAUGUUAUUGCAAAAGGAUGGACUAGGUGUCUAAUUCUAUGUUUUCAUUCUACUAACCGUGAGUUAUGAAACUUCCAAACAAUUGGCUCAACUAUAUUUCAUCAUCAUCAGUUGAAGUUGGGGCACGUAGGAACAUAUAAUGUUGUUAUACUGUUCUUAUGCUGUUGUGCAAGAGAUCAGACGUGCAAAUUUAUGAACUUUUUAAAAGAUCAAAGUGACGAGUGUCUUUCAUGUACAGAAACAGAUGAAUCUAAGAUAAUCAUCUUAACAAAGAUAUGAUGUUCUACACACAUACCUAACCUUUUGCUAGAAUUGGUUAAGUAUAUAACCAUGGUAACGUGGUUUUCUAUCAAUUUAGGCCAAAUAAUCGAACUUGAUCCGAUGGUCAAAUUAUGGAAAUAAAUAAACUAACUUUUUCUACUCGUCGAGUAGAUUGAUGUGGUAUAUUAUUUGGAAUCUCAAAAUCAGUUUCGGAUGAAUGAGAAAUAUAGUCCAAGGUUGGAAUGAAAAAAGGAAAACUGGCCGGGUAUUAGCCCAACUCCAUCGCUCGCCUAUCACUCGAGCGGUGAGCAGGCAAUAAGAUUGUUGCUUGAGCAACAAACGAGCGAUAGCCUUUCUAUUUUCGACGCUCGAGCGACGGACGAGUGACAAGAAAGGCUGCGAACUUGGCAAAGAUUGCUGAGUUUUGAAGCGUGUCUCUUCAUUCACAAUCUCUUCCCCUCUAUAGAUUAGACCCUUGGGACGUCCUUUACUUUAUCCCAAUGAUAUGCAAUCAUAGUAUAACAUAAACAUUCAUAUUUCCUUAACCAAAAUUCUACAUAAAAAAUCUAUUUUCAUUUCGUUUCAUUUAAAAGGAGUAUAAAAGCCACAUUUUGAUUAGCUUUUCUUGUGUUUUGAUAUGAUAUAAACACAAGAAGUUAGUCAUUGUAUCUUGGGGGUUGAUUGCUAUCAUUCAUAGGCACUGUUGCAAGACAAAAUCGACUUAAGGAUAAAGAGUUCAAUUCUUACCUCGACUUUGCAUUCAUUUCUUUGGUGUUACUUUGUCCAAUUUCAUUGGCAUUUUAAUAUAAUUUUUGUGGUGUUUAUUUUUCCAUUUUUUGUCGUUACUUUGUCCAAAUUUUGAUAAGGUUGGUGAGUUUGAUUUUAAAGUCAUCACUCAGAUCCCUUUUCAAACCACACCUUUCACAUUUUAGUGUGUGUACCAUUGCUAAGAAGGGUCCAUCACCCAAUGGAGUUAUUUGACGCAUACCAAUUGACAUGCGUAGAACUACUCCUGUAUGCGUUGAAGUUAGGGAACUCCCUAUUGUUAUCAAUCACCCUUGAAAAUUUGAACAAACAUUAUAUUCAGAAAAACAUUGAAGCCAUUUUGCUAUAUAUUGCUAUAUAUAACACCUUAGUAACUUUAAGAAAUUAUACAUAAUUGUGAUUUAGUUGUCCAAAUUCUAUUGAAUCAAGCUUAUGCAGGUUUCUAUUCAAUUAUACUUUCUUUACAUCCCUUCUCAAAAUUGGAUUAGAUAUGUGUGAGUAUGUGUGUGUUAGUAUACAAAUAACUUCAUGAUAUCCAAUGUCAGAUUGAAAGAUUAUCAUUAACGUGCAUCUCUUAAUCAAAUUUAUGCUGAUCUCUGUAAUUGAUGGUUUUCUUGACAUUGGCAGGACUUGAAUCGAGUAAGAAUUGAAGUUACUCAAUAAAAGCAUCCCGGGGUGUCAUGAACUCAGUUGGGAAGAUGCAUCUCGUGACUGCCGAGAAGUUAAGACCUUUGUUUCUGUAUGCACAUUAUUCGGAUAAAUAAGUGCAAUAAAAAGUAUUGUUCCACAAGUUUAUAUCAGUAAUAGAAUGUUCAUUACUUCUCGAUGUCUAAUUAUGUAGUUUUAUUGUACGCCUGGUAAUUUUAAGAAUUGUUGCUUAUUCAUUUUGUUCUAUAGUGAGUUCAUAUCUUGCCAAUAGGGAGAAAAAUUUAAGCAUGGAUGCAAGUGAUUCCCGUUUUGGAUUGUUCCACAAUUCCUAGAUCAUGUUGGAUGAAAUGAUGCGGUUGACAACACUAUGAAAAGCUAAUAAAUAGCUCACGUGCAAAUUCUCGACUCCAUGUACACUGUGUGAGGACUUCAAACAUGUUUGAUAUUUUAGAU
rnacentral:lncRNA from 1 species